AAACCUUACCUGGUCUUGACAUAGUAAGAACUUUCCAGAGAUGGAUUGGUGCCUUCGGGAACUUACAUACAGGUGCUGCAUGGCUGUCGUCAGCUUGUGUCGUGAGAUGUUGGGUUAAGUCCCGCAACGAGCGCAACCCUUUUCCUAUUUGCCAGCGGGUUAAGCCGGGAACUUUAAGGAUACUGCCAGUGACAAACUGGAGGAAGGCGGGGACGACGUCAAGUCAUCAUGGCCCUUACGACCAGGGCUACACACGUGCUACAAUGGUCGGUACAAAGGGUUGCUACCUAGCGAUAGGAUGCUAAUCUCAAAAAGCCGAUCGUAGUCCGGAUUGGAGUCUGCAACUCGACUCCAUGAAGUCGGAAUCGCUAGUAAUCGCGGAUCAGAAUGCCGCGGUGAAUACGUUCCCGGGCCUUGUACACACCGCCCGUCACACCAUGGGAGUUUGUUGCACCAGAAGUAGGUAGUCUAACCGCAAGGAGGACGCUUACCACGGUGUGGCCGAUGACUGGGGUGAAGUCGUAACAAGGUAAGCGUAGAUGA
rnacentral:rRNA from 1 species